rnacentral:rRNA from 1 species
ACGAGCGGCGGACGGGUGAGUAAUGUCUGGGAAACUGCCUGAUGGAGGGGGAUAACUACUGGAAACGGUAGCUAAUACCGCAUAACGUCGCAAGACCAAAGUGGGGGACCUUCGGGCCUCAUGCCAUCAGAUGUGCCCAGAUGGGAUUAGCUAGUAGGUGAGGUAAUGGCUCACCUAGGCGACGAUCCCUAGCUGGUCUGAGAGGAUGACCAGCCACACUGGAACUGAGACACGGUCCAGACUCCUACGGGAGGCAGCAGUGGGGAAUAUUGCACAAUGGGCGCAAGCCUGAUGCAGCCAUGCCGCGUGUAUGAAGAAGGCCUUCGGGUUGUAAAGUACUUUCAGCGAGGAGGAAGGCAUUAAGGUUAAUAACCUUGGUGAUUGACGUUACUCGCAGAAGAAGCACCGGCUAACUCCGUGCCAGCAGCCGCGGUAAUACGGAGGGUGCAAGCGUUAAUCGGAAUUACUGGGCGUAAAGCGCACGCAGGCGGUCUGUCAAGUCGGAUGUGAAAUCCCCGGGCUCAACCUGGGAACUGCAUCCGAAACUGGCAGGCUAGAGUCUUGUAGAGGGGGGUAGAAUUCCAGGUGUAGCGGUGAAAUGCGUAGAGAUCUGGAGGAAUACCGGUGGCGAAGGCGGCCCCCUGGACAAAGACUGACGCUCAGGUGC